rnacentral:lncRNA from 1 species
GCUCAGAUCAAAACAGUUAAAAUGCCAAACAAAUACAAAGUUGAAGAGCAUUGAGGACCCAAAAAUUCCUAAAAGUUGUGCCAAAUACGGCUAAGGUAAUCUACUCCUGGGCGUAAGAAAAUCCUUAGUUUUUCGAAAAAAUUAAAAGUUUUGUAAACAGAAAAUUUAUAGAAAUGACCAUAUAAUUGAUAUUCAUGUCAACACCGAGGUGCUGACUACUGGGCUGGUGAUACCCUCGGGGACGAAACGUCCACCAGCAGUGGCAUCGACCCAGUGGUGUAAAUAGUUAUCAAAGUUACCAGGAUUAUAA